GACGAACGCUGGCGGCGUGCUUAACACAUGCAAGUCGAACGGAAAGGCCCUGCUUUUGUGGGGUGCUCGAGUGGCGAACGGGUGAGUAACACGUGAGUAACCUGCCCUUGACUUUGGGAUAACUUCAGGAAACUGGGGCUAAUACCGGAUAGGAGCUCCUGCUGCAUGGUGGGGGUUGGAAAGUUUCGGCGGUUGGGGAUGGACUCGCGGCUUAUCAGCUUGUUGGUGGGGUAGUGGCUUACCAAGGCUUUGACGGGUAGCCGGCCUGAGAGGGUGACCGGCCACAUUGGGACUGAGAUACGGCCCAGACUCCUACGGUAGGCAGCAGUGGGGAGUAUUGCGCAAUGGGCGGAAGCCUGAUGCAGCGACGCCGCGUGCGGGAUGACGGCCUUCGGGUUGUAAACCGCUUUCGCCUGUGACGAAGCGUGAGUGACGGUAAUGGGUAAAGAAGCACCGGCUAACUACGUG
rnacentral:rRNA from 1 species